rnacentral:rRNA from 1 species
UAGGGAAUCUUCGGCAAUGGACGAAAGUCUGACCGAGCAACGCCGCGUGAGUGAAGAAGGUUUUCGGAUCGUAAAACUCUGUUGUUAGAGAAGAACAAGGACGUUAGUAACUGAACGUCCCCUGACGGUAUCUAACCAGAAAGCCACGGCUAACUACGUGCCAGCAGCCGCGGUAAUACGUAGGUGGCAAGCGUUGUCCGGAUUUAUUGGGCGUAAAGCGAGCGCAGGCGGUUUCUUAAGUCUGAUGUGAAAGCCCCCGGCUCAACCGGGGAGGGGCAUUGGAAACUGGGAGACUUGAGUGCAGAAGAGGGGGGUGGAAUUCCAUGUGUAGCGGUGAAAUGCGUAGAUAUAUGGAGGAACACCAGUGGCGAAGGCGGCUCUCUGGUCUGUAACUGACGCUGAGGCACGAAAGCGUGGGGAGCAAACAGG